GGCUGAGGGGAGGGGGCAGCCAGCGCCGGGGCGGCCCUCAACGCCCCUCGUACCUCCGCCCGCCGCGCUCCUGAGGGGAGCCCCCCAGCCGGCCCUCGUGCUGGUUCCUUUUCUUUAAAAGUACAGUUUUUGUGUCGAAAGUAGCCAGAUUCCCUUGGGAAACGAGGCGGGCAGGCGCCGAGGGGCUGCUGGGUGAGGGGGCUGCUGUGGACCCUGGCGUUGGCUGUGGGGUGCGGGUGCCAUUUGGGGGGGGAAGGGCAAGCAGGACAGGCCAGAGGGGGACACCGGCCCUCGUGUCAUCAUCCUCAGUGGCCGCUGUGACAUGGGGGCGGCUCUGGACUCCCGUUCAGUGCUGGGCCCCAGUUGGGUGCUGGGCCCCAGUUGGGUGCUGGGCCCCCAGUUCGGUGCUGGGCCCCCGGUGCGGUGCGGGAUGGGGCUGCGUGGGCCAGUGCUCCAGCAAGCGAGUGACUUUGUGUUUGACUCUGUAAAUUAUUAAGCGAUCGAUAAGAAGCUGCCUUCUGUGUAACUAUGCAAAUUAUUAAGUUGAUGCUUGCAAAUUGUUUGCACCUCAUCUAUAAGGUGCCCCUAAGGCCAUCCGAAGAAGACACCAAGAAGAUAAAGAGGAAACAAACUGGUCCUCGUCAGCUGUCGUGUGCGCUGCUGCCCCGAACAACUGCACGCAAGCGGGACAAAAGUUCGUAAAGAGGAAGACGUCCAGCCUUCAUCAAAAAGAACCCCACAGAAGACCAUCAAGAUGUAGCACACAAGUGCCAAGAAGGCGUUCCUUUAUUUUGAAUAAAACCCUGCCCACUCUCGGAUAGUUAAUGAAUACAUAAAAACGUGUUAUGGAUAUGUGUAAGAUGAGUGUAUGAAGCAGGAGUCAGGAAAGAGACAGAAAAGGAGCGUGUUUGGAGGAAAUACCCCCAUACACCCAGCCCUGAAUAAAAUCCCUGCUUGACAGUCA